UACGUAGGGACCAAGCGUUGUUCGGAUUUACUGGCGUAAAGGGCGCGUAGGCGGCGUGACAAGUCACUUGUGAAAUCUCUGGCUUAACCAGAACGGCCAAGUGAAACUGUUGUGCUAGAGUGCAGAAGGGGCAAUCGGAAUUCUCGGUGUAGCGGUGAAAUGACGUAGAUAUCAGGAGGAACACCUGCGGUGUAGACGGCUUACUGGACCAUAAACUGACGCUGGAGGCAACGAAAGCGUGGGUAGCAAACAGG
rnacentral:rRNA from 1 species